rnacentral:ncRNA from 1 species
GACGAGGCCCUACUGGUUUGAUGGCGACCGGGUCUCUAGUUGUGCGGACGGUUGGUGUGGUGCACCGCCGUCAGGAUCCCGCCCUUCGAAUAUACUUGGAGGGAAUAGCACAGCCGUGGGCGAAGGCCCUAAUAUCGGUCAGUGGACUGAUACGGUUCGGGUGGAUCCAGUUUCCAGUGACUGGGAGCUGCCUUUUGGGGGCGAUGAGAUCAAAGAGUCUUUUGACCGGUGGAGUAGGAAAUCCAGUCUAUAACUUUGCUUACUGGUUUGCCGUGCCUGGAAUAAUGCCUGCCUUGUUAUCCCUUUCUUUUGGCGGGCCCAGGUGUAAUGGUAUGACUCGGCGACUUUCGCUGUUAAUCCCAACUGGCGGGACGUGUGUCUUGCUAACCCAACCGGGGGAGAACGAUUAGCACCGUAUCAAAGUGUACCCGGCACUGACGCACGUUGGAACUUGGACAGUAUGGAGGGUGGGAGGCCAUCAGUCGGUCCGUUGACAGGAUGCCUGGUUGGAGGUGUCCGCUUUCAUGCCCAGAGCGUUACUAGAUGUUGCCCCUCAGAUUGGGUGGUGUGACCAUGUGCUACACUGCACAAAAGAGCCCUUGUUCGCGGGUUCGCAGUCCCUUUCUUUUCCGGCGUUUGAGCCGAUGGUUUUAGCGCGUGGUCCCUUUCUGAAAAUACGCGUAAAACUGUCAAAAUAGCCAAAUGCCUCGUCAUCUAAUUAGUGACGCGCAUGAAUGGAUUAACGAGAUUCCUACUGUCCCUAUCUACUAUCUAGCGAAACCACAGCCAAGGGAA